UACGAAGGGGCUAGCGUUGCUCGGAAUUACUGGGCGUAAAGCGCACGUAGGCGGUCUUUAAGUCGGGGUGAAAUCCUGGAGCUCAACUCCAGAACUGCCUUCGAUACUGGAAGACUCGAGUCCGGAGAGGUGAGUGGAACUGCGAGUGUAGAGGUGAAAUUCGUAGAUAUUCGCAAGAACACCAGUGGCGAAGGCGGCUCACUGGCCCGGUACUGACGCUGAGGUGCGAAAGCGUGGGGAGCAAACAGGG
rnacentral:rRNA from 1 species